UAACCUGCCUUAUAGUGGGGGAUAGCCUUUCGAAAGGAAGAUUAAUACCGCAUAAGAUUGUAGUAUCGCAUGAUAUAGCAAUUAAAGGAGCAAUCCGCUAUAAGAUGGACCCGCGUCGCAUUAGCUAGUUGGUGAGGUAAUGGCUCACCAAGGCGACGAUGCGUAGCCGACCUGAGAGGGUGAUCGGCCACAUUGGGACUGAGACACGGCCCAGACUCCUACGGGAGGCAGCAUG
rnacentral:rRNA from 1 species